GACGGAGGAUGCAAGCGUUAUCCGGAAUGAUUGGGCGUAAAGCGUCCGCAGGUGGCAGUUCAAGUCUGCUGUCAAAGACCGGGGCUUAACUUCGGAAAGGCAGUGGAAACUGCCGGGCUAGAGUCCGGAAGAGGCGAGUGGAAUUCCUGGUGUAGCGGUGGAAUGCGCAGAUAUCAGGAGGAACACCAACGGCGAAGGCGGCGCUCUGGGCCGGAACUGACGCUGAGGAGCGAAAGCGUGGGUAGCAAACAGG
rnacentral:rRNA from 1 species